CCCUUCUACAAAGGCAUGUCUGUGGUUCCCUGACUUUGGACAUGUAAGAAUGGGAGGCAAAGAAAUGAGGACUUGGAGAAGUCUGGGGCCAGCUUGUUACCUGUGGGCUCAAGUUCAACCAUCCUACCUAG